UUAUUCGAACUUCAAGAUAUUCACAAGAGACGACACGUACUAGAUCCAUUCUAGAUACGUUAUAGUUUAGAUAUCAACUAGUUCUCUUUUGCAGCGCAAUUCGGGCAACCAAUGUCACUUUUACGUUAGAUAGAGUUAGAUAUCUAUUAGAUGUGAAUUGGAUCUCUAAGCCAUAUCUUGUGGAAAUCUAUCUCCAGAAUAGCGCAAAUGUCAAAUUUGACAGGUUAGAUCUUAAACAUAUCGUUAUCGUAUCUUGGUGAUGUCUAAAAGAUAUCUAAUAGA